UGCCAGCAGCCGCGGUAAUACGUAGGACCCAAGCGUUGUCCGGAUUUACUGGGUGUAAAGGGAGCGCAGGCGGAUUAUUAAGUCGAUUGUGAAAUCUUGCGGCUCAACCGCAAAACAGCAGUCGAUACUGAUGAUCUUGAGUGUGGAAGAGAGUGGCGGAAUUCAUGGUGUAGCAGUGAAAUGCGUAGAUAUCAUGAAGAACACCGGUUGCGAAGGCGGCCACUUAGUCCAUUACUGACGCUCAUGCUCGAAAGCGUGGGGAUCAAACAGGAUUAGAUACCCUGGUAGUCCACGCCCUAAACGAUGAAUACUCGGUGUCGGGUCGCAAGAUUCGGCGCCUAAGCAAACGCAUUAAGUAUUCCACCUGGGAAGUACGAUCGCAAGGUUGAAACUCAAAGAAAUUGACGG
rnacentral:rRNA from 1 species